rnacentral:misc_RNA from 1 species
GAUGAAGAACGUAGCGAAAUGCGAUACUUGGUGUGAAUUGCAGAAUCCCGUGAACCAUCGAGUUUUUGAACGCAAGUUGCGCCCGAAGCCUUUUGGCCGAGGGCACGUCUGCCUGGGCGUCACGCAUCGCGUCGCCCCCCACAAUUCUCCGUAAAGGGAACAUGUGUUUUGGGGGCGGAUAUUGGUCUCCCGUGCUCAUGGCGUGGUUGGCCGAAAUAGGAGUCCUUUCGAUGGACGCACGAACUAGUGGUGGUCGUAAAAACCCUCGUCUUUUGUUUCGUGCUGUUGCUCGCAAGGUAAACUCUUUAAAAACCCCAAUGUGUCGUCUCUUGACGAAGCUUCGACCGCGACCCCAGGUCAGGCGGGACUACCCGCUGAGUUUAAGCAUAUCAAUAAGCGGAGGA